rnacentral:rRNA from 1 species
GGAAAGCCCUGCCACGACUCUCGGGACCUCACCGCCCCAGUAAUGGAAGCGGGUGCCUGCGGCCAACGGCCGCGGGUACGGUAAAGCACCGAAGUCUAGGGGCGAUCCGCCGCCAAACCCUCCCCACACCGGGAGGGCCCAGCUCACAGGCCAGACGGCGAUGGGCGCUCUCGCGCUUAAGAUAUGGUCGAGUGACUCGCCGAGAGGCGGGUGCAACUCAGGAACGUCCGUAGGUGAACCUGCGGAAGGAUCAUU